UACCUAACCCUCUAAGUUUGUCUUAGAGGUAUGGUACAAAAAACAUCAACGAUAAAGAUGGUCUUCUGACCGGCACUUCGUCGUUGAUGUCUAUGCUCGAAAGGGUAUAGAGUAGUUCCCGAAAGGGACUAUU
rnacentral:sRNA from 12 species